AGAUGAUAUUCUUAUUAAUGAUAAACUUCUACAUAUUAUGAAUUCUGUUUUUGAAAUAAAUGUUAAUACAUCAUAACAGUUUAUAUUCUAAAUAUAGAAUGUUAUCAUUCACAAUGAGUAAUGCAAAGUGUUCUAAAUACGAGACAACUGGUAAACACUGUGUUUACAUUUUAUAAUAACAUUGAUUGUUCUGGUCGAAUAAAUUUCGUGUCAAAUGCUUUGUUCAUGACCUGGAUAGGGUAUAUAAAGGAAAGGAACGAAACGAAUAUUUAUAUUGUGCAUUAAAAAUUUUGGUUUUCUAACAUAGCAUCAAUUGAAAACCGCGAUUGAUCUCAAUACGUUCAACUGCUUAAGAAGAGGAUACUUUCAUUGAUCGACGCAAUUAAUUAAAUAAGUGCACUACAUAACAUACAAAAUGCCAGAAAGUUACGACUUCAAGGAGUUGGACAACAAAAUAAGAAGCUCCGCCAACUGGAGCUUCCUUUCUGAUUCCUCCAAACUUGCUAAUGCGGAAUUUUAUGCAACAGUGGAAGAUUGCGACGGGGUACUGAGAAGAGUAUUACACGUAUGAAUUUACUCUUGUUUAAGCGUCCAUUGCCUUCCUCGAGGUAUUUUAUCCAAACGUUUAAUAUUUAAUCCUAAGCUACCUAAUAUUAAAACAAGUAUAGAUCUGCACACAAUAUUUAAGAAUUUUAAAUGAUAAUGAACAUUGGCAAAUUAUGAGGUAAAUAAUGUUUAUUUUAAUGCUCUAACUAGAACAUUUUUUUAAAGAUAAUCGACUUAUGUUGUUAUAUGUUAUCUCUGCAUCUACAGGGUACCACGACCUUGUUCGAUGUUAUGCGUGCAAUCCUGGGCUAAGUUAUCUUAACGCCGAUGAUGACACGCUGUCAGAGCAUAUUAAAAACUGCACGUCCACGUGCGCUUUCCUGAAUGAGCUAGCAGGCGAAAAUCAAAAUCCUAAUGGUGAAAAGACGGACAAAUCAGGUAACAAAUAAGUUGUAUUGGUCGCAUUUUAAAACUAUUAAAACAAUUAGUUUUGAAGUCAUGAAAUGUUAAAAUGGAAUAAAAUGUAAUUCCCACUUAAAACGGUUCAGUGAGCACAGAGAGUUCGAUAUGAAACCUAUAUUUUGUACCUAAAUAAACGAUUUCAGUAACCUAAUAGUAUUUUUACUUGGUCUAAAAGGCGGGAAACUUCCUUCUUGGAAGGACAAAUUUCGGAUUUCAGUCCUAUUUUGUGUGCCCACAAAUUUAUGUUAUAGUGUUUUGGAAAAAAGGUCUAAACAAGAACUAACAAAAUGAAUUUUGUGAAUUUGGAAAUGUUAACAGUGUGUUUUAAAAUCCGAUGCAUAUGCAUUGUGUAUUCUUACGUUCUGGUAUAUGAUUAGGUAUUAAUAGGUGUAUGUUCUUAAUGAAGCACAUAGUCUGUUUCUAUUCUUAAACCUGAUCAUGUUUACGUAUGCAUCACUUUGGAAACCACAAAUUCAUGUAAUAGUAUUUUUUGAAGAAAAAACAAACAAACAAUGACUAACAAAAUGAAUUAUUUUAAUAUGUAAAUGCAAACAGUGUGUUUUAAAAAAUAGUGAAUACAUAUUGUGUAUUUUACUUCCUGGUAUAUCAUGACUCGGGUAUAAGUUUCUGUUCUAAAUGAAGCACUUAGUCUGUUUCUUUUUUAAACUUGAUUAUGGUAACGGAUGAAUCACUUUGAAGACAUGCAUAUUUGUUUAAAUAGUAUAUUUUACUGUCAUGCAGAGCACAGCGAAUGAAAGUCAUACCAUAUUAGACGAAGAGUCAGAACGGUCGACUCUUUCGACUCUCUUAGAUAGUUACGUUGAUAUAAUUUCUAUAAGGAUCUGGUUUACUGUUUUAAUGUUAUUGCUAGAAUAUGCAGCGAACACAAUGAAUAUAACAAAAAAAUGCAUUUCAAAAUGUGGCUUCGACUUUAUGGAAAAGUGAACAACGCAUUACCCGUUCUCUUCCAAGUGUUUCGAUGCUGUCAAUAGACUAGGGUAUGUCCCAUUCACUUUGUUAGCCAGAAUACACACUCAUUGCAGUAAAAACACGCUCGCUUUCGGAUUGUUUCCUUCCUCAAAAUGUUUACAGCCAACGGAUUAUUCUACACCGACAACGAUGCUGAAGUAGAGGGAUACUACUUUGGAGUCAGGCACAGCUACUGGCGCAUUUACGACCUGCUCAAUCAAAUCAUAUCACGUCUCCACAUACUCCAUAUACUCCAAUGUCCCUACAGCGAUGCAUGGUGUGAUUAUCUUAGAAACAUUAUUAAUUUGUCUCAUUUUACACAUGAUUUAGUGAGAUCGUUUCCAAAAUCUGGCAACAGAAAAUAUUUCUCAAGACGAAAGAGAGGUAUACUAUUAACGAUGUAAAUGGACAGUUCGACUUCGUCAGAAAAUACCAUAAGACGUAUUUAUUGAUGUAGUGAACCCUGUAAGUGCUUAUUUAUUAUCUGUUACAGACCUCCAUAUUCGUUUUCCGGAAUCGACACUAUUCAAAUAUGUUACAGAGAUCGGCCUCAAAGGCCAUGCGUCUUGAAUCAAUCCAAAAUUGGACGAUGUGACGAAAGUAAAUAAUUUUCACUAUACAUGAUGAAAUGACUAUGUUUCUUGUUUUACAGUGAUAUUGCUCAUACUGCUAUUGUAUGAAACAAUAAUUUUCAUCAAUCUACAAUCGACGGCGACGGUGCUCGAUGUUUUGUGUUUGCGUAUAUGUUUUAUUGUUGGUUAUGGUAAUUAAUAACUGCUUGCAAUUCACAGGGGAUUUAACGAGUAUACGUCUGAUUACUGUUCAAUACCUUCAUAGUCCGUUCAUGUAAAUAACAGAAUUGUUUAUUCAAAUUGUACUUACAGAUACACUGAUUAAGCCCUUUUUGUUACAGUAGCAGUAGCCAGGUUGAGAGCUGAAAAUGAGAACCUAAGAAGAAGUAUGACCUGUAUAAUAUGCAAAAAACGUGAAGCGGUUGUUCUGUUUCGUCCCUGUAGCCAUUUGGUUACAUGUGAGAACUGUGCUUCGACAUUUGAUAAAUGUCCAGUAUGUCGGCGGGAAAUCGAAACCACUAUUCGUAUUCACAGAACAUAAUGAACAUUGAACACAUCUCAUUACAUUUCCAUGGUGCCGAAAGCAGUAUAACCGUUGUCAAGAACAUGAGAAAAUCGUAUCAACAGAGCCCGAAGAAACUUAAGAUUAUUUGAUAGAAAUAAGAAACCCAAGAGACUGCCCUUGUCAGUAAUUGAACUGCAUUUGUUUUAGAGCAAAAAUAUUAAUUUCAGUCCAUAUAAACAGGGAACGUUUACAGCAAUAAUAAAACAUCUGUAAAAAACAUAGCUAGUGGUUUUUAUUAUGUAAGAUGUUAUAUUUGUUUGUGGCUUCAUUAUGAACUCGACUUGGCAAGCCACAGUGACACAAUCAUAUAUAUUACCAUACAUUCGUUGGUCUUGAAAUGUUUCAUGGAAUGUGAAGGAGUUAUGUUGUUCAUAUCGUGUGGUGACCUCAGGCUUGUGUCAAGUCUGGUGGCAUCUAUGUUUUAUUCAUUUGGACAUUGUCAUAAUUGUCAAAAAUAUGCUAGAAUCAAAUAAAUGUACAUACAUAG